CCAUCGGUGGUUUAGUCGUAGAAUGCUCGCCUGCCACGCGGGCGGCCCGGGUUCGAUUCCCGGCCGAUGCA